GGAUCCUGAGUACGGCGGGACACGUGAAAUCCCGUCGGAAGCUGGGAGGACCAUCUCCCAAGGCUAAAUACUCCCUAGUGACCGAUAGUGAACCAGUACCGUGAGGGAAAGGUGAAAAGCACCCCGGAAGGGGAGUGAAAUAGAACCUGAAACCGUGUGCCUACAAGUAGUCAGAGCCCGUUAACGGGUGAUGGCGUGCCUUUUGUAGAAUGAACCGGCGAGUUACGAUCCCAUGCAAGGUUAAGUUGUUAAGACGGAGCCGCAGCGAAAGCGAGUCUGAAUAGGGCGAAUGAGUAUGUGGUCGUAGACCCGAAACCAGGUGAUCUACCCAUGUCCAGGAUGAAGUUCAGGUAACACUGAAUGGAGGUCCGAACCCACGCACGUUGAAAAGUGCGGGGAUGAGGUGUGGGUAGCGGAGAAAUUCCAAUCGAACUUGGAGAUAGCUGGUUCUCUCCGAAAUAGCUUUAGGGCUAGCCUCAUGUGUAAGAGUCUUGGAGGUAGAGCACUGUUUGGACUAGGGGCCCUCAUCGGGUUACCG
rnacentral:ncRNA from 2 species